UGUGAAUCACUCUCCUCCCUGUUCUUCAAAUAUUUUAAACAUGAUCAUGAAGUAAUCAGAGCCAGUGUUGGGAUUCUGUUCUGUCCCUUUGAGCCAUCCCUUCAGUGGAAUUUCUUUGGAGCUUUUCCUUCUGACACCCAGCCUACUACUGUCCUGGUGGCCCCAGGACCUCCUCAUGCAGUGGGUCUUCUCCGGACUGUGCUCCACACCAACUGACCACCCCAUCCUCUCCUCAGUGUAGCUAGAAUUUGGGCUCUGCUCCUCACUGGGAUGUGACCUGCUCUGGAAUAUGGGAGCAAUAAUAAUUUAUUGUGAGGAUUUAAAAAAUAUAUAAUGCAUUGAAUGUGCUCAAUUCUGGGGAACAUAGUAUGUAUUUAAUAAAUGCCAAAGUGAUCAGUUUUUCUCUUUCCCUUAAUCUGAACCUAUGUUGUCUGUUCUGGUCACAUUUCCUGAAAGACAUUCAUUCAGUUAGACAUUUUUUACUAGCAUAAUUUAAUUAAUUCUUGAUGAUAGAAUUUCAAGUUUAACAGGGUUCUUCUGGAAAUACCAUCAGAAUCUACAGUUGACUCUAAUAGGACUGCAGUGUGUAUAUUGGCCAGUGCAAGUAAUCCUACACUUGUAUUGAUCAGCAGCGAUGGCUCAUAAUCUAUGAAGACAGCAUGUCGCUGAGAUAAUCCUGUGGAGGCCGACUCACGGCUCUGUGGGCUAGAAUGUCACACCAGGCUUUUCCGUGUGAUUCUGGUGAGGAGUAAUGCGGAUUACUGGCUAAUUUUGGCUCACUGUGCUGUGUUAUCAAGUGCACUUCCUGAGAGUCCUGGAUUUCCUGGUUUAAGUGUGGCUGAUGACGUACUUGUAACCAAGGGACUCGGCCCAGCCCAAGUGCUUCUGACUAAGAGGAGCAUGCCAAGUAAAUAAGCACUUCGCUGUGCCAUGCCUGAGAGAAGGAAUGCAAAGAUUAAUUCACUGGCCCUAAUAUCUUUAAUCCAAUGAUUCACAAACAAACACCACCAUUUGGAUUCCAGUAACUGUAAUAGUAUAACAGUCGCUGACUUUUAUUAGUGUGUAAUUAACCCUGUAGUGUGUCAAGAUGACAGCUGUAAUUUUCUGUUCACUCAGAGAUAUCCAUAGACCUCAGUAUUCUAACUAGUCAUGCGAUAUCCUUUCAGUACUUUGAUGGUUAAUGUCAACAUUUGUGAACAUGUUGACAGCUAACAGUGAGAGGUCUAUUUAUUACAUUUCACAAAGUAUGCAUAUGUUUAAUCUUCAACUGGUUUUGAGUUCAGAGGCAAAGCUGGAGUGUGGGAUUUGGAGAUGGGAAUGGAGGGGUGAGGGGAGAGGUGGGUAGUCUACCAAGCCAGUACUCCCAGAUUCAAGACCCUUUCAGCUGGCCUGCAUGGCUGUCCUUCCAAAGAUGAUUUGAAUUGACACACCAUGCUUCUUUAGCUGAGGCCUGACCCAGUUACCUCUCUCCAUUGCAGCUCCUUGCUAUUCCAGGGCUGUCAGUUCCUGAGCUCUCCAGAGCAUUGUUGCUGCUGCAACUUCAUCACUGUCAUGGAACUGCCAUGCCCACACUGAUGCCAGCUCCAAGCCACUGCUAGAAUAUGGAAUGCUAU
rnacentral:lncRNA from 1 species